GUGCUCUGCCAGGCUGAAUGCAGGAGGGCCCAGGUUUACUGCGAAUCCCCGGCUGGUGAGUCAUAAGCAGUCUUGGGCAGCCUAGUAUAGCAGCAGAUUGUAUACAGUAUGUUCCAGACACAGUGGGGUGGAAGAGGGAAGGAACUUCCAUUCCCAGGGGUUAGCAGGAAAUCAGGGUUCGCUCUUGGGUCAGACUCAGCCAUAAAAGAACUUAAGAACCAACUCUAAGGGAAUCCCAUCUCAUUUCAGUUUAGAAGAAAAGUUCCAAAGCAGGUAAGCGAUGAACCUCGUGGGCUGCAUAGGGGAAGGAGGUGGCGAAGAAAGAGAGUCUGCCAUUGCUUUGAGUUUGGCUAGCAUGGAGUCAGCCACACUGCAGAGAAAGAGCCAAGGGUAGGGAAGGGGACUUAGAGAAAGAGUGAAGUUAAAUGCUUAUGGACAGCAAACUUAGGAAAGAGAGAAAGUUCACUUUCCCGAGCUUCAGGAAAUCCAGCCAACUUACCAAGUCAGCUGUGUGGCUGCAGCUCAGCAAAUGCACACAGAGGCAGGAAUUGUGGGAAACAGAAGUGUGUUAUCUCGGGGCCAGAGAGAUGGGUCAGUAGUUAAAAGCCCUGGCUGUUCUUCUAUAGGACUAGAGUUUGGCUCCCGUCACCCAGGUCGGGUAGCUCAUAAGAGCUAUAAACAACAGCUCCAGGGCAUCUGGCGCCCUCUCCUGGCCUCUUCAGGUACAGCAUGCACACACACACACACACACACACACACACACACACAAAUAAUAGGAGUGAAAACUGUAAACAGUACAUUAUCUCAUUGAAGGAUAAUUAAUUGUUCUUCCUAUCUCUUUAGUGUGGCCAGGGUAAAUCCACACUCCUAAAGGGUAGCCCCAUCUUCCAGAGGGGUGGCCCUUUAGCCAAUGACUAAUCUGUUGAAGUAAAUGUAAAAAAAAACGAGUAAAAAACCC
rnacentral:lncRNA from 1 species